rnacentral:rRNA from 1 species
UACGAAGGGGGCUAGCGUUGUUCGGAAUUACUGGGCGUAAAGCGUGCGCAGGCCGUUAAUCAAGUCAGGGGUGAAAGCCCAGAGCUCAACUCUGGAAUUGCCUUUGAAACUGGUUGGCUAGAGUGCGGGAGAGGUGAGUGGAAUUCCCAGUGUAGAGGUGAAAUUCGUAGAUAUUGGGAAGAACACCGGUGGCGAAGGCGGCUCACUGGCCCGUUUCUGACGCUCAUGCACGACAGCGUGGGGAUCAAACAG